rnacentral:lncRNA from 1 species
AUGUCUAAGUCAGAGUCUCCUAAAGAGCCUAAACAGCUGAGGAAACUCUUCAUCUGUUUGAAGGUUGCGCUUUAAAACAACCAAUGAGUCUGAGAAGCCAUUCUGAGCAAUGGAGAAUGCUUACUGGACUGUACAGCAAUAAGUGAUCCAAAUGCUCGGGAAGCUUUGGGUUUGUCACAUAUGCCACUGUGGUGGAGGUGGGUGGAAGUGGAUGCAGCUUGAAUGCAAGGACACACAGGUGGAUGAAGGAGUUGUGGAACCAAACAGGGUUGUCUCAAGAGAAGAUUCUCAAACACCAGGGGCCUGCUUAACUGUAAAAAAAGAUCUUUAUUGGUGGCAUUAAAGAAGACACUGAAAAAUAAUGCCUAAGUAAUUAUUUUGAACAGUAUGUAAACAUUAAAGUGAUUGAAAUCAUAACUGUCUGAGGCAAUGGCAAGAAGAGGGGCUCUGCUUCUGUAACCUCUGAUGACCAUGCCUACAUGGAUAAGACUGUCAUUUGGAAAUACUAUCCUUUGAAUGGCCACAACUGUGAAGUAAAAAAGUUCUGUCUGAACAAGAAAUGGCUGGUGCUUUAUCCAGCCAAAGAGGUUAAAGUAGUUCUGGAAGCUUUGGCUGAAGUUGUGGAGGUAAUUCCGAUGGGGAUGACAACUUGAGUCAUGGAGGAAGCCACAGUGGUUGAGGAGGUUUUGGUAGCAAUCAUGGUGGUGGUGGAUACAGUGACAGUGGGCAUGGCUAUAAUGGAAUUGAUAAUGAUGGGAGCAGUUUGAGACGUGGUUGAAACUACAAGGAUUUUGGCAAUUACAAUAAGCAAUCCUUAAAUUUUGAAGCCACGAGGGGAGAAAACUUUGGAGGCAGAAGCUCUAGACCCUUUAAUGGUGGAAGUCAACACUUUGCCCAACCACAAAACCAUAGUGGCUACAAUGAUGGUUCCAAUAGCAGCAGUAGUUAUGACAGUGGCAGAAGGUUUUAA